UACGUAGGGUGCGAGCGUUGUCCGGAAUUAUUGGGCGUAAAGAGCUUGUAGGCGGUUUGUCGCGUCUGCCGUGAAAGCCCAGGGCUUAACCCUGGGUUUGCGGUGGGUACGGGCAGGCUAGAGUGUGGUAGGGGAGACUGGAAUUCCUGGUGUAGCGGUGAAAUGCGCAGAUAUCAGGAGGAACACCGAUGGCGAAGGCAGGUCUCUGGGCCACUACUGACGCUGAGAAGCGAAAGCAUGGGGAGCAAACAGG
rnacentral:rRNA from 1 species